GACGAACGCUGGCGGCGUGCUUAACACAUGCAAGUCGAACGAUGAAGCCUAGCUUGCUAGGUGGAUUAGUGGCGAACGGGUGAGUAAUACGUGAGUAACCUACCUUUAACUCUGGGAUAAGCCCGGGAAACUGGGUCUAAUACCGGAUACGACCAAUCUCCGCAUGGGGUGUUGGUGGAAAGCGUUAUGUAGUGGUUAUAGAUGGGCUCACGGCCUAUCAGCUUGUUGGUGAGGUAACGGCUCACCAAGGCGACGACGGGUAGCCGGCCUGAGAGGGUGACCGGCCACACUGGGACUGAGACACGGCCCAGACUCCUACGGGAGGCAGCAGUGGGGAAUAUUGCACAAUGGGCGCAAGCCUGAUGCAGCGACGCCGCGUGAGGGAUGACGGCCUUCGGGUUGUAAACCUCUGUUAGCAGGGAAGAAGAGAGAUUGACGGUACCUGCAGAGAAAGCGCCGGCUAACUACGUGCCAGCAGCCGCGGUAAUACGUAGGGCGCGAGCGUUGUCCGGAAUUAUUGGGCGUAAAGAGCUUGUAGGCGGUUUGUCGCGUCUGCUGUGAAAGGCCCGGGGCUUAACUCCGUGUAUUGCAGUGGGUACGGGCAGACUAGAGUGCAGUAGGGGAGACUGGAAUUCCUGGUGUAGCGGUGGAAUGCGCAGAUAUCAGGAGGAACACCGAUGGCGAAGGCAGGUCUCUGGGCUGUAACUGACGCUGAGAAGCGAAAGCAUGGGGAGCGAACAGGAUUAGAUACCCUGGUAGUCCAUGCCGUAAACGUUGGGCACUAGGUGUGGGGGACAUUCCACGUUUUCCGCGCCGUAGCUAACGCAUUAAGUGCCCCGCCUGGGGAGUACGGCCGCAAGGCUAAAACUCAAAGAAAUUGACGGGGGCCCGCACAAGCGGCGGAGCAUGCGGAUUAAUUCGAUGCAACGCGAAGAACCUUACCAAGGCUUGACAUAUACUGGACCGCAUCAGAGAUGGUGUUUCCCUUCGGGGCUGGUAUACAGGUGGUGCAUGGUUGUCGUCAGCUCGUGUCGUGAGAUGUUGGGUUAAGUCCCGCAACGAGCGCAACCCUCGUUCUAUGUUGCCAGCACGUUAUGGUGGGGACUCAUAGGAGACUGCCGGGGUCAACUCGGAGGAAGGUGGGGAUGACGUCAAAUCAUCAUGCCCCUUAUGUCUUGGGCUUCACGCAUGCUACAAUGGCCGGUACAGAGGGUUGCGAUACUGUGAGGUGGAGCUAAUCCCUAAAAGCCGGUCUCAGUUCGGAUUGGGGUCUGCAACUCGACCCCAUGAAGUCGGAGUCGCUAGUGAUCGCAGAUCAGCAACGCUGCGGUGAAUACGUUCCCGGGCCU
rnacentral:rRNA from 1 species